rnacentral:rRNA from 1 species
GCGAACGCUGGCGGCAGGCUUAACACAUGCAAGUCGAACGGGCGUAGCAAUACGUCAGUGGCAGACGGGUGAGUAACGCGUGGGAACGUGCCUUUUGGUUCGGAACAACUGAGGGAAACUUCAGCUAAUACCGGAUAAGCCCUUACGGGGAAAGAUUUAUCGCCAAAAGAUCGGCCCGCGUCUGAUUAGCUAGUUGGUGAGGUAAUGGCUCACCAAGGCGACGAUCAGUAGCUGGCUGAGAGGAUGAUCAGCCACACUGGGACUGAGACACGGCCCAGACUCCUACGGGAGGCAGCAGUGGGGAAUAUUGGACAAUGGGCGCAAGCCUGAUCCAGCCAUGCCGCGUGAGUGAUGACGGCCU